UCCCUGGUGGCUUAAAUGGUAAAGAAUCUGCCUGCAAAGCAGGAGACCUGGAUUGCAAAGAUCCCCUAGAGAA
rnacentral:tRNA from 1 species